CAUAGAGAGCUUCCAGGAAACAAACUGAUGUGAUUAUGGGUCAAAAAAGACCAUGAGAUGCCCAGGUAUGACAAAAGUUAGAUCCUUGCUCUCAAGAGGACACGCAAAUGGCAAACCAGGUGUCUGGGGACAGCAAGGUGCUUCUCAGCAACUCCAAGAUCCCAAUGAGAAACCUGGAUCUGCAGGUGCAUUGGAUGGAUCUCGGCCCACAGCAUGCAUCUCAAAAGGCACAGGAGCAUUAACAUUGCUGAGAAGCAAAUACACAUGAAGGUUACACACACUGCUCCUUCCUGUUAUCUCAGUGGGCAGACAAACAGCAGCCAAAAUAAGGUCAAAGACAACAGGAAGAAGCCCUAAGUUCUAGUUACUGACAGUGAAGUAAGCAAACUGCUAAGUCAAAAGGUAACAUCAUAACUAUUGCUGACAUCUAGAAGGCAAGAAAGGCUCUCCAAAAUCCAGCUUUCUGCAACAGCCUGGAAAGACUCAGAAGACAGAGGAUAUGACAACCAC